rnacentral:lncRNA from 1 species
GACUUUACGUCUUCCAACUCAGAAAGCGUAUUUGGUGCUGUACGUUUUGGACCGCGGGUUUCAUAUAUAAAAACGUCAGGGGCUCUUUAAUAAAAUCACCCCGAAGGGGUAAGUUCUAAUCUGGCGCGUUGGUUUUAGAUCGAACGGCUCUGGAUCAAUCCCAGGAGGGAAGAGGGGAUGCUGGCCGGCUACAGAGCCUCCGGCGGUGGCGCCAUGGCCGGAGGGCCUUGCUCCUCGCCGGAGUUGGUUGGGAAAGUGUUCCGGUGCACCGUUUAACAAAUAAAGAGCAUGGGGACGAAGCGGAGCUUCAAGCGGACUCACCUAGCACAAAGACGAGGACGAGGAAGACCCGAGGGCAACGCGGUGCUUAGAAUGGCGGCCGGUCACGCUCCUGCGAGGUUCGGUCAGUGCGUGAGGUCGAAAGAACGCGGUACAGGGUAGGAGGAGGGGCUCAGCACCUUCGUCGACGUGUUGCGAAGCUCGGCCAAGGAUCAAACGCCUCUGGGCAGCUUUGAUUGAAGAAAAAACACGGCGGCGGCGAACUCCUACUCGGGAAGAUCCAAUCCACGACGUUUAAGGCGGCUAGGGCUUCGCAAACGUUGUGGAUGGAAAGGGAAGUGCGCGGCGAGACCACAAACCUUUAUAGGGGCUUGAUUUGGGAGUCCCUGCACCAAAUCGCGGAGAAAGCGGAUUCGAGCCCUGCUCGGGUAUGGAGUCCGUGGCGAACACGCUGGAGAAGAAGGAAAGGAAGGGGAAAGACGCUGACAUGUGGGGUCCGGCUGGCGGUGAGAGAAGAGGUGGGGCGCGGCCGUCAGAGAAAGAGAGGGGAGGAAGCGCGCCCAGCUAGCCGGCUCGGCAUGGGCCUCAGUUUGGGCCGGGGCGGGAGGAUGGCUGCGGGCUUACUGGGCCACCAGGCCGAUGGAGCUGAGGUAAGUUCUCCUUUCUUUGUUUUUUUUCUCUUUUUCUUUUCUAAUUCAUUUUCCAAAGCCUUUUCUAAAUAAAAUUUUGAAUGCAAACAAUUUCAGAACAAAAGCAAUCAGCAUAAAAUAAAAUAUGCUCCAGCAUGAAUGCACAACAACGUUUCUAAACCCUAGGAUUAAUUUUAUUUAAAUGAAAAUAUUAUUUUCCUAUGUUUCAUGAGCACAGAAAUUCAUAAUUAAAUCAUUUUAGCUCUAAUUCCCAAAAAUUAAUUUUUAGGGUGUUACAAAUCUACCCCCCUUAAAAUGAAUCUCGUCCUCGAGAUUCGGAAGAGGCACAGAUUCCAAAAGAGAAACAAGAACAAGAUAUUGAUCAUUAUUUCAACUUGACAACCUGUAUUCCAAAUGCAAGCACUUAUGUUUCAGGAUUACAACUUGUGAACAAAACUUCCAUAAGAUGUCUAUUAUUUGUAAUUGCUCACUGUCCAUCUUGACUACCAACUUUUCAAUUUAUACAACUCGAAAACAUGAUACCUCGGCAUGGAUAUGCCUCCUCAGGUAGGAGUGGACCACCUUGAUACUCAAUUCUUUUCCCUGAUGGUGCAGUUAAGAAUAUUUUCCACUGGGUAGCAUAGAUCACUGCCUUGUGUGCACAUAACCAUCCAUUGCCAAGAACCAAAGGAAUAUUGAGUGACUCUAGCACAAUGAGGUUUACAAUGAAGUUUUCCUUCUUUAUGACAAGAUUGAUAUUUGAGCAAACCUGAUCUGCCUGUAUUUCUCCCAUUGGGGUUUGAACUAACAAAGGCUUUCUCGUCGGACACUUCACCCGUUCGAUUGUCUUUACCAAGUCAGCGGAAAUAAAAGAAUGCGAAGCACUUCGGUCAAACAGAGCAAAAACUAGCACUGAGUCCACUUGAAUAUAGCCUCCCACCACUUUGGUGGCUCCUUGAAUGUUAUGCCUAUCCACAUUGUUCAGUCUUGCAUUGAUAUAAUUUCGCUGUACUUUAUUUCCAGGAGCGGGCUUCUUACGAGCUUUCCUUUUACGCUUCCGUCGUUGUGGAUUUUGAUUUGAUUCGUUGUCAACUUGCUCUUCCAUAUUAUUAUUUUGAUAACACUCAGCUUUGUCAUACUCAUAGCAUCUUUCUUCAAAAUCAAGAUGAUCAUAUUCUUCCCACCUAUCCAUGAGAGGUGUCAUAUUGUGCUCCGGAUUCAUAGGACACUACACUCCCUGUCAUCAAGUGACCAACGUCAAUAACACGGCAAGGAUAGAUGAUCAUAACCAUAGCAUAUCUUAGAAGACAAUUAUCACUCCAAGCUAGUCUUAAAAUGCAUCACUCGUGAUAUCAAGGUACUACCCCCCUUAAAAUUAGAUUGAUUGGGGACACUAGGGACUAGUUCUCCUAUCCUUUUUGGACGCCACACAUCAUAGUCUUUUACAUUCGUGGUACCGAGUCUCUUGUUCCAACAUUAUCCAAUUCUUCUCCAUGUAACCCCUUUAUUCAGGCUACCCCCCUUAAUAAAGGUCAUCUAGGGGACACAAGAAAGGUAGCUAGCAUGUUUUCCAGACAAGUUAACUAACAUUGAGAACUUAUGACAUCCCAAAGAGCUUCUGUGCAAGAGAACAAACAUGUAUCCUGAAAUUUUUCCGCGAUAUGAAAAACACCAGCAUAGAAAAAUGGACAUAACCCUUAUUCUGUUAAUCCAACCGAGUUAUAGCUUAUACCGUUAGAAAACUUAUGAAAUUCUCUACAACUUUCCUGUAGAAGACGUCCUUAGGUUCUGUAUUUAGGCCCAGGUAAAACAGCCAAACAUAAUAUCCUUCCUGAUAAUAUCUCAGCAAAGAUGCAGUAAAUUCCAGAAAUUAUACCUCGAGCUACUUAACUCAUAUGGAGAUGAUCCUUACAUUGUUGAAAAGCUUAUGAAAUCCUUUACAACUUUCGUAUACAACUUUUCCCCAGAUUCUGUCUUUAAGCUUGGCUGAGAAUAGGAAUUGCCAGAUCUAUCCAGAUUUUGAAACAGAACAGAAACAUCCAAUUGUAAAUAUCAUAUCUCAGGUUCUACUUAUCCAAAUAAGUUCCAGCUUAUACCGUUGGAAAGAAUAGAAAAUUGUCUACAACUUUUCUAUAGAAUAUUCUUCCAAAUUCUAUAGUUAUAUAUGUCUAAAAGAGUAAGCAACCGAAACUGGUCCAGGUUCUUGACAGCACAGUUGUAUCCUGUUGUGAUUUUUGUAACUUCCAAACCAUAACAGCUAUGAGGGUGAUUCUUGUGGUCAGAGAAAGAUCUUGGAGUCUAGUUGUUUCCAGAAAAGUUUAGUAAACUUUGCACGACCAGAUCUUGAUAUACACUAUGAUUAUUGCAGACUGCUCCAGAAAUCAGCAAAAGACAGAAACAGGAUAUAACCAAACCCAACUAUUUAUGUCAUUACUCCGUAUGCCUUAGUUCUAUAAACUAAAUGAAAUUGUGAAGAACUUCACAAAAUCAUUACACUCAUUACAAAGAUCCAAAUCAAACAUAAACAUAAUAACAAGCAAUUAAGCAUUAAAGGUUCACAAGGCACACAAACUCAACUUUCGCUACUAGCGUUUUUAUUACACCAGGGGACACGGACACCUAUAUCUUAGACUUAGUGUGGUUAUCUUCACGAUGCAUCUGUUGCUUCUUUUGUGGACAAGAGCUUAUAUAAUGUCCUUCUUGUUGGCAGUGAUAACACCUUCUCUUAGCUGGUUCCUCUGUGAUGUUAUUUUCCACUGAAGUGUUGUUCGGUGUGUUAUCAACUUGCAUACUCUGAUGGUUUAUUUUUGCCUGGUUAGAUUUCUUUCUACAUUGCUUGAUCCUCCGAGGUUGAAACUCUCUAUAAGUAAUUGUCCACCCAUCUAUGCAUACCUCAUGAGCAGUGGGAUUAGCUUGGGGAAUUUGUUCAUCUCCAAGGUUUGAGUUUUCCUGACGAGAAUUUGAAGCUACAUGUGACAUCUUGGGAUUUGGGUGGUGAUCACUUCCCAAUCUCGGCUCUAGUGCUUUUGCCUUCCUCUUCUUAUCCUCAUUAGUCACACAGGUUGGUUUUGUCUUAACUUCCUUCUUAGAUGACAUAUUCCGAAGACAAGGAAGACCAUAAUGCUCACAACAGUGGCAUUGAUCCUGAUAUCCUGAUGUAUUACUCCCAACGCUUCCAUGAUUUCUCAUAUUUUUCCAAGCUUCUGCUACUUGUCUCCUCACGGGUCCUGAGAUACGUUGUUGAGAGUUCUUAUUCUGAGUUAUUCCUUCCACUACUUGUGUUUGCAUGGCUAGAAGCUUCUCCAUGUCGAAUGCUUUUACGGUUGGAAAAUCUGGGUGCUUUCGUUCCUUCUUGUCAAAGGUCUCCUCGUUAUGAUCCAUCUAAAGAGACAAAGAGAGAGGAUUUAGAAUAGAGACAAGAUUUUAUAAAAGAACUAGGCAAGAGGUAAGCAUAACUUUUAGCAACUAUCAAGGUCAAGGCGAAAAGCAAGAAGUAAGCAAAGAUAGAAGCAUGCCAAAACGUCCAGUUCUAACUAGGCUUGCGUCCUACAGUCAGCAUUGCUCUGAUACCACUUUGUAAUACCCGAUUUUAAGGACAAAACCAGAUAUACACUAUAUAUGAGUUUUAGAAGUCAAUUCUCAUAUAUAGCCACAAAUAAGGGGUAAUAUCAAAAGACAAUGCAUGAAUUAUAUAACGUACUUAGUAUAAAAGAGAUAACCUUAAGGAGCAAACAACGGAAGAUAACUCCAAACUUCGGGUAUUAACUUCACUCUACAGGAUCCAACUGACUGGUUGAUCACAAGCCUAACACAUCUCCUGAAGUGUGGGGGAAAUAGCAAGAGUGAGUCCAUGUCGAACUCCACAAGUAUAGCAACUAGAUUGUAUAGCUCCCACAAUCUCAUGAUCAAUGUGACAUAAAUAAUAUAAAGCAUUAAACAAUAAACAAUGAGCAUAUUUAACACACAGGAAUCAUCAUCGUCGCAGCAAGAAUCCCCAAGGCCGCUCCUGACCGUGAGCUCGGCUAGUAUACUAGUUUUUAACCCUCUGCAGAGGUUGCACAUCUUUACCCAUGAGUCAUGAUUUACCCUUUCGCCCGAGGUAGCUAGUCUCUUAACCCCCUUCCUAGGGAGGUCGGCAGGGAUCACUAUGAAGUCUUUCAAAGGUUCGUCUAACAAGUUAGGGCCGCUUGGUUUCAUUAGUCAGUCCGUGUGAUUCACCCGCAGGAAUCCACGGUCUGCUAUUCCCCAACUGCGCCACAACGGGUAACCACUAACGAGCUAGAAAAGUUACUCAUACUUAACUAAAGCCAGAGCCAUUAUAGCCCUCAUGGUUGCACUGUUGUCCCGGUUAUCACUUACAGAUAAAUCAUCAAGUGGCUAAAAAGUCAUUUUUAUCAUUUAUUACUUAACAUUAAUCUAGUCACACGAUCAUGGAUACAGAAAUAAAAUCCAAAUGCUAAACUUGCCUUAAUCCAAAUGCUCUUGUUGAUCCUGCUGGUCUUACUAGUUGCCAAGGCUCUGAUCUUGAUCACUGAAGUAUUGUUCACCGUCUAAACUCGAUCAUCGAUCACACAAACAAUCGGGAAUAACAUGCACGAAGCAAACAAGGCUAUAAUUAGAACAGUACACCAAUCAUAUGAAAACAGUAUGAAAAGUUUAUAAAAUGAUUCUACGCAUCGCUACGAUUUCAUAGACGUAAAGAUCACGAAAAUCGGAAUUAAAACGGUGAAGUUAUGAAUUUUCUAAGAUUUUAUGUAGAAAAUAAAUUAAUUAAUUAAAGUCACGAAAUUAAAAAGUUUCAAACUGAGUAAACAAUUUUACUAACAGGUAGAUCUUUCAAAGACGAAUCCAACGCAAUUUGAAUGGGUCAAAUCGGACUUAAAACGAAGAUUUUAUGAGCUAAAUAAAAGCAGUGGCAAACUUGUAAAUACUGAAAACGUAUUUUGGAAACAAGCCGGCAGACUUUACGUCUUCCAACUCAGAAAGCGUAUUUGGUGCUGUACGUUUUGGACCGCGGGUUUCAUAUAUAAAAACGUCAGGGGCUCUUUAAUAAAAUCACCCCGAAGGGGUAAGUUCUAAUCUGGCGCGUUGGUUUUAGAUCGAACGGCUCUGGAUCAAUCCCAGGAGGGAAGAGGGGAUGCUGGCCGGCUACAGAGCCUCCGGCGGUGGCGCCAUGGCCGGAGGGCCUUGCUCCUCGCCGGAGUUGGUUGGGAAAGUGUUCCGGUGCACCGUUUAACAAAUAAAGAGCAUGGGGACGAAGCGGAGCUUCAAGCGGACUCACCUAGCACAAAGACGAGGACGAGGAAGACCCGAGGGCAACGCGGUGCUUAGAAUGGCGGCCGGUCACGCUCCUGCGAGGUUCGGUCAGUGCGUGAGGUCGAAAGAACGCGGUACAGGGUAGGAGGAGGGGCUCAGCACCUUCGUCGACGUGUUGCGAAGCUCGGCCAAGGAUCAAACGCCUCUGGGCAGCUUUGAUUGAAGAAAAAACACGGCGGCGGCGAACUCCUACUCGGGAAGAUCCAAUCCACGACGUUUAAGGCGGCUAGGGCUUCGCAAACGUUGUGGAUGGAAAGGGAAGUGCGCGGCGAGACCACAAACCUUUAUAGGGGCUUGAUUUGGGAGUCCCUGCACCAAAUCGCGGAGAAAGCGGAUUCGAGCCCUGCUCGGGUAUGGAGUCCGUGGCGAACACGCUGGAGAAGAAGGAAAGGAAGGGGAAAGACGCUGACAUGUGGGGUCCGGCUGGCGGUGAGAGAAGAGGUG